rnacentral:misc_RNA from 1 species
AACGCAUCUUGCGCUCCUUGGUCAUUCCGAGGAGCAUGCCUGUUUGAGUGUCAUCUAAGUUCUCAACCACACUGAUUAUUUUCUGGCGUGGCUUGGAUAUGGGGGUUUUUCCAUCUGCAGGCCUCGGAAAAUGAGGUCAGCUCCCCUGAAAUGAAUUAGUAGUAUCUGAGCAGAGAAAAACUACCACAGGUGUGAUUAAUUUAUCUAUCUAUGCCUUGGUGUGCUGCAGAGACAGAUCGCACUGCUUACAACAAGUGGAAUGCCCACAUUUGAUGAAUUUGACCUCAAAUCAGGUAGGACUACCCGCUGAACUUAA